UUUUAAGCACAAUUAUUAGGGUUUCAUUCAUGAAGUUUUAAACGAUUAACUGCUCGAGUAGGUAUAAAUAUUUAAUUCACUUGAUCAAAGAUUUGCGCCCUUAUAGCUUCUAAGGCCCAGUUUCUUCUGGUAACAAACAUAUGGGUCAGUUCACGAAGAUUUGCGUAUAGCCACAGAUUACGUUGUAUGGCUAAUCAUUUUAAACAAUAAGAUAUGUUAAAUGAAAUGUAGUUUUUUGGCAUAUCAUCUUGUAGACCGUAAUACUUUUGCUUACACACGUCUGACUGAAUUUGUAGUGUUCAUAGCAUCAAUAACAAAUAGCCCAGUCAAAUUACACAAAAAUAAGGCGAUCGAUGGAAAAAAUUCCUGGAGAAUUGGAUUUCUUUUAAACGCUUUCUUUAGACUUAUACAUAUAGGUAAACAAAUAUCAAAAGUCCUCGAGGAUGAGCGGUGAGCUCCAGGAGGGGGAGGGAGUUGAAGAUGUCAUUUUUUAUUUUUUUGCUUACAUCUCAAAAACGAUCACUUCUAUCAGUUGCUGAUAAAAUUUCUUACAAAGGAGUUCUAUUCAUUUUUCUUGUAGGACUUUUUAAAAAUAAUAGUAGAUUCGAGACUCGACCCAUCUCUAGUAUGAUGUUGAGCAAAAACUUGCUAUCAUAAAAUCACAAUUGUGACCGUCACGAGGGUUUAUCCCUACAGUCGGUCGCUUUACCUACUGCUUUAAAAUGUGGAAAUGUUAGAAUCGAAGAAUGACGAAAAGGACCAAUAAAAUUCAAAGUCAAUCUCACAAGUUUAAUCGCAGAUUUACAUAACAGUGGCAAAACACUUUCGAGACAACCGUCAUCAUCAUCACUGCCUGAUAAUUGGUGUAAACAUGAAAAUUGCAAGAUAGGAAAAACGGGAAAACGAGAAAAAAAAAGAUAAGACUUCUGAGAAUGAAAUUGUGCAAUUAA